rnacentral:rRNA from 1 species
GAUGAACGCUGGCGGCGUGCCUAAUACAUGCAAGUCGAGCGAACAGACGAGGAGCUUGCUCCUCUGACGUUAGCGGCGGACGGGUGAGUAACACGUGGAUAACCUACCUAUAAGACUGGGAUAACUUCGGGAAACCGGAGCUAAUACCGGAUAAUAUGUUGAAUCGCAUGGUUCAACAGUGAAAGACGGUCUUGCUGUCACUUAUAGAUGGAUCCGCGCCGCAUUAGCUAGUUGGUAAGGUAACGGCUUACCAAGGCAACGAUGCGUAGCCGACCUGAGAGGGUGAUCGGCCACACUGGAACUGAGACACGGUCCAGACUCCUACGGGAGGCAGCAGUAGGGAAUCUUCCGCAAUGGGCGAAAGCCUGACGGAGCAACGCCGCGUGAGUGAAGAAGGUCUUCGGAUCGUAAAACUCUGUUAUUAGGGAAGAACAAAUGUGUAAGUAACUAUGCACGUCUUGACGGUACCUAAUCAGAAAGCCACGGCUAACUACGCG